UACGUAGGGUGCAAGCGUUAAUCGGAAUUACUGGGCGUAAAGCGUGCGCAGGCGGUUUUGUAGGUCUGACGUGAAAUCCCCGGGCUCAACCUGGGAAUUGCGUUGGAGACUGCAAGGCUGGAGUCUGGCAGAGGGGGGUAGAAUUCCACGUGUAGCAGUGAAAUGCGUAGAGAUGUGGAGGAAUACCGAUGGCGAAGGCAGCCCCCUGGGCCAAUACUGACGCUCAUGCACGAAAGCGUGGGGAGCAAACAGG
rnacentral:rRNA from 1 species